rnacentral:rRNA from 1 species
CGAUUCUGGCUCAGGAUGAACGCUGGCGGCGUGCCUAACACAUGCAAGUCGAGCGAUUCUCUUCGGAGAAGAGCGGCGGACGGGUGAGUAACGCGUGGGUAACCUGCCCUAUACACACGGAUAACGUACCGAAAGGUACGCUAAUACGAGAUAAUAUGCUUUAGUCGCAUGGCUGAAGUAUCAAAGCUCCGGCGGUAUAGGAUGGACCCCGCGUCUGAUUAGCUAGUUGGUAAGGUAAUGGCUUACCAAGGCGACGAUCAGUAGCCGACCUGAGAGGGUGAUCGGCCACAUUGGAACUGAGACACGGUCCAAACUCCUACGGGAGGCAGCAGUGGGGAAUAUUGCACAAUGGGCGAAAGCCUGAUGCAAGCAACGCCGCGUGAGCGAUGAAGGCCUUCGGGUCGUAAAGCUCUGUCCUCAAGGAAGAUAAUGACGGUACUUGAGGAGGAAGCCCCGGCUAACUACGUGCCAGCCGCUGC